AGUCGAGCGGCAGCGCGGGGGCAACCCUGGCGGCGAGCGGCGAACGGGUGAGUAACACAUCGGAACGUACCCAGUUGUGGGGGAUAGCCCGGCGAAAGCCGGAUUAAUACCGCAUACGACCUGAGGGUGAAAGGGGGGGAUCGCAAGACCUCUCGCAGUUGGAGCGGCCGAUGGCGGAUUAGCUAGUUGGUGGGGUAAAGGCUCACCAAGGCGACGAUCCGUAGCUGGUCUGAGAGGACGACCAGCCACACUGGAACUGAGACACGGUCCAGACUCCUACGGGAGGCAGCAGUGGGGAAUUUUGGACAAUGGGGGCAACCCUGAUCCAGCCAUUCCGCGUGAGUGAAGAAGGCCUUCGGGUUGUAAAGCUCUUUCGGCAGGAACGAAACGGUGUGGGCCAAUACCCCAUAUCAAUGACGGUACCUGAAGAAGAAGCACCGGCUAACUACGUGCCAGCAGCCGCGGUAAUACGUAGGGUGCGAGCGUUAAUCGGAAUUACUGGGCGUAAAGCGUGCGCAGGCGGUUCUAUAAGACAGAUGUGAAAUCCCCGGGCUUAACCUGGGAACUGCGUUUGUGACUGUAGGACUCGAGUGUGGCAGAGGGGGGUGGAAUUCCACGUGUAGCAGUGAAAUGCGUAGAGAUGUGGAGGAACACCGAUGGCGAAGGCAGCCCCCUGGGUUAACACUGACGCUCAUGCACGAAAGCGUGGGGAGCAAACAGGAUUAGAUACCCUGGUAGUCCACGCCCUAAACGAUGCGAACUAGGUGUUUGGAGAAGGAGACUUCUUUAGUACCGUAGCUAACGCGUGAAGUUCGCCGCCUGGGGAGUACGGUCGCAAGAUUAAAACUCAAAGGAAUUGACGGGGACCCGCACAAGCGGUGGAUGAUGUGGGUUAAUUCGAUGCAACGCGAAAACCUUACCUACCCUUGACAUGCCGCGAAUCCUGCAGAGAUGUGGUGUGCUCGAAAGAGAGCGCGGACACAGGUGCUGCAUGGCUGUCGUCAGCUCGUGUCGUGGAGAU
rnacentral:rRNA from 1 species